UACGGAGGGGGCUAGCGUUGUUCGGAAUUACUGGGCGUAAAGCGCGCGUAGGCGGACCUGCAAGUCGGGGGUGAAAGCCCGAGGCUCAACCUCGGAACUGCCUUCGAUACUGCGGGUCUCGAGUCCGGGAGAGGUGAGUGGAAUUCCUAGUGUAGAGGUGAAAUCGUAGAUAUUAGGAAGAACACCAGUGGCGAAGGCGGCUCACUGGCCCGGUACUGACGCUGAGGCGCGAAAGCGUGGGGAGCAAACAGG
rnacentral:rRNA from 1 species